AGACGCGUAGCUCAGGGGUGAGAGCGCUCGGCUGAUACCCGAGAGGUCCGGAGGUUCGAAUCCUCCCGCGUCUA
rnacentral:tRNA from 1 species